rnacentral:rRNA from 1 species
UAGGGAAUAUUAGAAAUGGACGAAAGUCUGAUCUAGCAACACCGCGUGUGCGAUGAAGGCCUUCGGGUUGUAAAGCACUUUUUGGAAGGAUUAGGAAGGAAUGUACUUCCAGAAUAAGUCUCGGCUAACUACGUGCCUGCAGCCGCGGUAACACGUAGGAGGCGAACGUUAUCCGGAUUUACUGGGCGUAAAGCGCGUGUAGGUGGUUCUGUAAGUAGGGCGUGAAAGCUCCUGGCUCAACUGGGAGAGGCCGUUCUAAGCUGCAGAGCUGGAGGAUGGUAGAGGGAGGUGGAAUUCCGGGUGUAGCGGUGGAAUGCGCAGAUAUCCGGAGGAACACCAGUGGCGAAGGCGGCCUCCUGGACCAUUCCAGACACUCAGACGCGAAAGCUAGGGUAGCAAACGG